rnacentral:rRNA from 1 species
CCGGCGAGGGGAGUGAAAAAGAACCUGAAACCGUGUACGUACAAGCAGUGGGAGCACAGGUUUACCUGUGUGACUGCGUACCUUUUGUAUAAUGGGUCAGCGACUUAUAUUCUGUAGCAAGGUUAACCGUAUAGGGGAGCCGGAGGGAAACCGAGUCUUAAUUGGGCGUUAAGUUGCAGGGUAUAGACCCGAAACCCGGUGAUCUAGCCAUGGGCAGG